rnacentral:rRNA from 1 species
CUUUAUUGGAGAGUUUGAUCCUGGCUCAGGACGAACGCUGGCGGCAUGCCUAAUACAUGCAAGUCGAGCGGACUUGAUGAGAAGCUUGCUUCUCUGAUGGUUAGCGGCGGACGGGUGAGUAACACGUAGGCAACCUGCCCUCAAGUUUGGGACAACUACCGGAAACGGUAGCUAAUA